rnacentral:lncRNA from 1 species
GCAAGAUCAGCUUUCACCUCCUCCUCUGCUCCACCAUACCUCCUUCACAUCAUCCAGUCACCCAGCAUUUGCAGUCAGUGCCCAGCUUGCAAGUGGGUCUUCAAAUAGGCUCAGUGCCCAUCUCACCAACUGCCGCAUUCUCUCACGGCCGCCAAGAGAAGACUUUGCUGUUUCAGCAUUCCAGGUGAGAGGGUGGAAAACACAAAUUCCGGGAGCUUAUGGACCAGGCUUCUUCAUGGGAUCUCAGCAUGGACACAGCAAGCUUGACUCAGCGAUUCCAAGUGUCUGUAUUGCGUUACAUGAAGUCCCCCAUGGCUGGCAUCAACAGUACAUUGCCUGAGGAAGGAAGAAGCCAAGCUGUCCUGUGAUCCCUGAAGACUAAGCCAGCAAGAGAAGCACCGGUUAGUCACGGACGAGAGCACAGGGAUUAGAAGUUGUUCAGCCAGAUGUAUCAGGUGACCACUAGAAGAAAGCAGCUGAGGGCUGGGAUGCCAAGAGGGCAAUUCAACACCGAGAUUCUUAACACAGACACCCAUUUUAUCUGAGGCAUCAAGCACUCAUUACUUGGCAGCAUCACUGCCUUCCCCAAUGAAAAUAGGAAUGAAAUUAUCACUUUCAUAAAGUUUACACACGCCCAAGGAGCUACCACUCUUUCCGUCUUUCCUCGUGUUUCAAAAUCCACAGAGCUGAGAGACAACCAGAUGGUAUAUCCUCAGAAGUGCCACAGUCAGCCUUAAGCUUUUUCGAGAACACAGAAAUAGUACUGGACUGGAAAUGAGAAGCUGGGAUUCCUCUCUCUUCUAUCAGGUAUUAAUUCCAGAGACAUUGAGAUGACGUGUUAGGCCUGUUGUUGUCCACAGCUGGAAUCAAGGCAACACUCAGGACCCUG